CUCUCUCUCUCUCUCUCACUUUCGCUCUCUCCCUUCCUCCCCCGGCAGGUCCGUGGCUGAAGAAGCCCUGUUCACCACCUCCUCCUCCCCUGGCCGGGCUGCAUGGAGCCGCGCUUCACGGAAAACGAGGGAAUGAGGAAGAGACUGAUGAAGCAGCCACGCUGGUCCGGGAUUCUCUCAUUCUGCUGUGCUCAGCUGGGCUCUGUCUAUUCUUUUCCCUCCCUCUCUUGCUCUCUCUUUCUCAUCGAUUCCCUCCAACUGUCCGUCCGAGAACAACUGCACUCGAUCUCUCCCGGCCGUCGUUUUCUCGUCCACUCUCUUGCGUUCACACACACGCAUAGACCGACAAGACUUCUCGUUCCUCUUUCUCCUUUCACAUACCAGACGAAGGCUGGGGUGUGUGCGGCGAGCAGGAGACGCAGACGCAGCGGCGAGAAAUGAAAGCACAAAGCAGCAAAACGCAUCAGCAUGAAUAUUAGAGAUGUCGUUAAAAUCCGGACUCGUUUUUCUCUCUCUCUCCCUUGCUCGCUCACUCUCUCUCUCACCCUCUUUAGCUCAUUGUGAAACAGGAGGUCCAGCAGAGGGUGCUAGCUGUUAUUACAUUAACUUUCACAACUUAACCCUAAAAAUACUGAAUUUUUUUACUUGCUUAAUCCAACCAGGCAUAAAAAAAAUGAACAACAGCAAGUGUUCAAGAAAAUGGAUACACCUACUACACAUACAUUCAACAGAUAAUUUGUGUUAAAACAGCUUUGUUUUUAUCCAAACAAGUAAAAUAAAGUCAGAAUUAUAAUUUUAAA